UCGUGGGGUGACUUGUCUGCUUAAUUGCGAUAACGAACGAGACCUUAACCUGCUAAAUAGCCAGGCCAGCUUUGGCUGGUCGCCGGCUUCUUAGAGGGACUUUCGGCUCAAGCCGAAGGAAGUUUGAGGCAAUAACA
rnacentral:rRNA from 1 species